UACGAAGGGGGCUAGCGUUGUUCGGAAUUACUGGGCGUAAAGCGCACGUAGGCGGACCUUUAAGUCAGGGGUGAAAUCCCAGAGCUCAACUCUGGAACUGCCUUUGAUACUGCGUGUCUUGAGUAUGGAAGAGGUGAGUGGAAUUCCGAGUGUAGAGGUGAAAUUCGUAGAUAUUCGGAGGAACACCAGUGGCGAAGGCGGCUCACUGGUCCAUUACUGACGCCGAGGUGCGAAAGCGUGGGGAGCAAACAGG
rnacentral:rRNA from 1 species